rnacentral:rRNA from 1 species
GAUGAACGCUGGCGGCGUGCCUAAUACAUGCAAGUCGAGCGAACGGACGAGCAGCUUGCUUUUCUGAUGUUAGCGGCGGACGGGUGAGUAACACGUGGAUAACCUACCUAUAAGACUGGGAUAACUUCGGGAAACCGGAGCUAAUACCGGAUAAUAUUUUGAACCGCAUGGUUCAAAAGUGAAAGAAGGUCUUGCUGUCACUUAUAGAUGGAUCCGCGCUGCCUUAGCUAGUUGGUAAGGUAACGGCUUACCAAGGCAACGAUGCAUAGCCGACCUGAGAGGGUGAUCGGCCACACUGAAACUGAGACACGGUCCAGACUCCUACGGGAGGCAGCAGUAGGGAAUCUUCCGCAAUGGGCGAAAGCCUGACGGAGCAACGCCGCGUGAGUGAUGAAGGUCUUCGGAUCGUAAAACUCUGUUAUUAGGGAAGAACAUAUGUGUAAGUAACUGUGCACAUCUUGACGGUACCUAAUCAGAAAGCCACGGCUAACUACGUG